GAUGAACGCUGGCGGCGUGCCUAAUACAUGCAAGUCUAGCGAACGGACGAGAAGCUUGCUUCUCUGAUGUUAGCGGUGGACGGGUGAGUAACACGUGGAUAACCUACCUAUAAGACUGGGAUAACUUCGGGAAACCGGAGCUAAUACCGGAUAAUAUUUUGAACCGCAUGGUUCAAAAGUGAAAGACGGUCUUGCUGUCACUUAUAGAUGGAUCCGCGCUGCAUUAGCUAGUUGGUAAGGUAACGGCUUACCAAGGCAACGAUGCAUAGCCGACCUGAGAGGGUGAUCGGCCACACUGGAACUGAGACACGGUCCAGACUCCUACGGGAGGCAGCAGUAGGGAAUCUUCCGCAAUGGGCGAAAGCCUGACGGAGCAACGCCGCGUGAGUGAUGAAGGUCUUCGGAUCGUAAAACUCUGUUAUUAGGGAAGAACAUAUGUGUAAGUAACUGUGCACAUCUUGACGGUACCUAAUCAGAAAGCCACGGCUAACUACGUG
rnacentral:rRNA from 1 species